GCCCUCUGUCAAGCGUUAACGCUGCAGCCCCGUGUGAAUUGGGCGUAAGAGCGGUUACUGAAGCUAAGCAGGGCUGAGCCUGGUCAGUAUCUGGAUUGGAGACCACAUGGGAACACUAGGAUGCUGUUGGCA
rnacentral:rRNA from 1 species